CGCUUAUUGCGCGGCGAUAACCUUACACACAUUGUCUAGUUUUUUUGAACUUUGCUUUGGGUGCAUCAGCCUAGCUGCGUGCCCAAAGGUCUAAACACAUUUUUUUAAUGUUAAAACCUUUAACCAAUAGUCAUGAAAAUUUUUAACAAAAAUUAAAAUCUUCAAAACUUUCAACAACGGAUCUCUUGGUUCUCGCAACGAUGAAGAACGCAGCGAAAUGCGAUACGUAUUGUGAAUUGCAGAUUUUCGUGAAUCAUCGAAUCUUUGAACGCACAUUGCACCCUCUGGUAUUCCAGAGGGUAUGCCUGUUUGAGCGUCAUUUCUCUCUCAAACCUUCGGGUUUGGUAUUGAGUGAUACUCUGUCAAGGGUUAACUUGAAAUAUUGACUUAGCAAGAGUGUACUAAUAAGCAGUCUUUCUGAAAUAAUGUAUUAGGUUCUUCCAACUCGUUAUAUCAGCUAGGCAGGUUUAGAAGUAUUUUAGGCUCGGCUUAACAACAAUAAACUAAAAGUUUGACCUCAAAUCAGGUAGGACUACCCGCUGAACUUAAGCAUAUC
rnacentral:rRNA from 1 species